AAGAUAACUCAAGGUUUUCCCUGACCCAGUCUUUGCAAUAGCCACAAUAUCUCGACCUUUUAAAGCAAUCGGCCAUGACUGAGCUUGGAUUGGUGUGGGUGCAGUGAAGCUUGCUCGGUUUACCUGAAAACAGACAACUCCCCAACAGUAAACAAAUAGAAAAGCUCGAAGCAAAACUAGAAUUCAUCUUUUUUUCUCUAAUUCCUAUUAUCUUCCUUCUUGAGACAAGCCUGAAGAGAGAAACAAAUGCCAGGUGCAAUACUAAUUAAAUUUAGUGUGGAAGGAACACUGGCUUUCUUGUUAGAUAAAAUGGCAAGCUAAACAAAGCCAGUACAAGCAUUGUCCAAACAAAGCAAGCCUAAAUCACAAGGCAAACAACAUUAGCCAUUGUUGAUGCAGAUCGGCUCAUUUUAGAGGGUUCUCUAGCGCACAUCCUUUCAAACAGAAAACAGAUCAGAGUCUAUGGCAGUAGUUCAUAGGAAUGAGAGCAUCAUUUGAGUCUGGAAUUUCCAGCACAGCUUCAAGCGAUUAUGGCACACAUUCCAGGACUUCAGCAUAGAGAUUCUACGCCACCUAUAUCAGAUGUUCCUAAUACCGUGUGCUAAUCGAGACUUUCUGGCUGGGUGGAGAGACUCUGGUAGUAUCUUCAUUGCCGAUUUUGUCCCAAAGCAGUAUGAAAACUUGUGAAGAUUAUGAUACGCCUGGAUGCUCCAAGUCUAAGUGAGAUAUUUUUGAGAUGGAUCAGAGGGAGGUGUUCUAUCUACUCGUAUCAACUGAGGCUUCGAAUACUUUUAUC